GACGAACGCUGGCGGCGUGCUUAACACAUGCAAGUCGAACGGAAAGGCCCUGCUUUUGUGGGGUGCUCGAGUGGCGAACGGGUGAGUAACACGUGAGUAACCUGCCCUUGACUUUGGGAUAACUUCAGGAAACUGGGGCUAAUACCGGAUAGGAGCUCCUGCUGCAUGGGGGGGGUUGGAAAGUUUCGGCGGUUGGGGAUGGACUCGCGGCUUAUCAGCUUGUUGGUGGGGUAGUGGCUUACCAAGGCUUUGACGGGUAGCCGGCCUGAGAGGGUGACCGGCCACAUUGGGACUGAGAUACGGCCCAGACUCCUACGGGAGGCAGCAGUGGGGAAUAUUGCACAAUGGGCGGAAGCCUGAUGCAGCAACGCCGCGUGCGGGAUGACGGCCUUCGGGGUGUAAACCGCUUUCGCCUGUGACAAAGCGUGAGUGACGGUAAUGGGUAAAGAAGCACCGGCUAACUACGUG
rnacentral:rRNA from 1 species